UAAUACGUAGGGUGCAAGCGUUAAUCGGAAUUACUGGGCGUAAAGCGUGCGCAGGCGGUUGUGCAAGACAGGUGUGAAAUCCCCGGGCUUAACCUGGGAACUGCACUUGUGACUGCACGGCUGGAGUACGGCAGAGGGGGAUGGAAUUCCGCGUGUAGCAGUGAAAUGCGUAGAUAUGCGGAGGAACACCGAUGGCGAAGGCAGUCCCCUGGGCCUGUACUGACGCUCAUGCACGAAAGCGUGGGGAGCAAACAGGAUUAGAUACCCUGGUAGUCCACGCCCUAAACGAUGUCAACUGGUUGUUGGGAAGGUUUCUUCUCAGUAACGUAGCUAACGCGUGAAGUUGACCGCCUGGGGAGUACGGCCGCAAGGUUG
rnacentral:rRNA from 1 species